rnacentral:rRNA from 1 species
AGGGUUUGAUCCUGGCUCAGGAUGAACGCUGGCGGCGUGCUUAACACAUGCAAGUCGAACGUGAAGCUCGGACUGAAUACUUCGGUAGGAUUUCUGGGUGGAAAGUGGCGAACGGGUGAGUAACACGUAGGUGACCUGCCUCGAAGUGGGGGACAACCAUUGGAAACGAUGGCUAAUACCGCAUGGUUCUGUCGGUCUGGGAAGGCCGAUAGAUAAAGCUUUAUGCGCUUUGAGAGGGGCCUGCGGUCGAUUAGCUAGUUGGUGGGGUAAAGGCCUACCAAGGCGACGAUCGAUAGCUGGUCUGAGAGGACGAUCAGCCACAUGGGAACUGAGACACGGUCCCAACUCCUACGGGGGGCAGCAGUGAGGAAUAUUGCACAAUGGGGGAAACCCUGAUGCAGCAACGCCGCGUGGAGGAUGAAGGUUCUUGGAUUGUAAACUCCUUUUCUGAGGGAAGAGCAAGGACGGUACCUCAGGAAUAAGUCACGGCUAACUACGUGCCAGCAGCCGCGGUAACACGUAGGUGGCAAGCGUUAUCCGGAUUUACUGGGCGUAAAGGGCACGCAGGCGGUUUGGCAAGUUCGGCGUGAAAUCUCCCGGCUUAACUGGGAGCGGUCGUUGAAAACUGCCAAACUUGAGUCAGUGAGAGGGGUGCGGAAUUCCCGGUGUAGUGGUGGAAUGCGUAGAUAUCGGGAGGAACACCAGUGGCGAAAGCGGCACCCUGGCACUGUACUGACGCUGAGGUGCGAAAGCGUGGGUAGCGAACGGGAUUAGAUACCCCGGUAGUCCACGCUGUAAACGAUGAAUACUAGGUGUAGGUGGUGUUAAACCCAUCUGUGCCAAAGCAAACGCGAUAAGUAUUCCGCCUGGGGAGUACGGCCGCAAGGCUAAAACUCAAAGGAAUUGACGGGGACCCGCACAAGCAGCGGAGCGUGUGGUUUAAUUCGAUGCAACGCGAAGAACCUUACCUGGGCUUGACAUAUAUGUAGUAGUGAACCGAAAGGGGAACGAUUCUUCGGAAAGCAUAUACAGGUGCUGCAUGGCUGUCGUCAGCUCGUGUCGUGAGAUGUUGGGUUAAGUCCCGCAACGAGCGCAACCCCUGUCGUUAGUUACAAGUGUCUAGCGAGACUGCCGGUAUCAAACCGGAGGAAGGUGGGGAUGACGUCAAGUCAGCAUGGCCUUUAUGUCCAGGGCUACACACACGCUACAAUGGGUAGUACAAUGGGCAGCGAAACCGCGAGGUGGAGCGAAUCUCAUCAAAGCUAUUCGUAGUUCGGAUUGUAGGCUGCAAUUCGCCUGCAUGAAGCCGGAGUUGCUAGUAAACGUAGGUCAGCACACUACGUUGAAUACGUUCCCGGGUCUUGUACACACCGCCCGUCACGUCAUGGAAGUUGAUAACACCUGAAGUCGGCCACUUAACCGCAAGGAGAGAGCUGCCUAGGGUGGGAUUGAUGACUGGGACGAAGUCGUAACAAGGUAGCCG